AUGGGCCCUGGGCCAGUGUGGUUGGUGGCUGUUUGUGUCCUGGGAGCAGGCCCUGCAGACGCCAGAGUCAUCCAGACCCCUGGACACCUGGUCAUCGGCCGGGGACAGAACUUGACGUUGAGCUGUGAACACGACCGGAGCCACCCUGUCAUGUAUUGGUAUCGGCAGGUCCCAGGGCAGGGACCAAACCUCAUGUUUUAUUUUCUUUAUCAGAAGCUUUCAGAAAACAUGACUGUCUCGCCCCGCUUCCAACCACACUGUCUGAACGCCGGCAGCUGCACCCUGGACAUCAGUGCUGCAAAGCUGGGCGACUCCUCCGUGUUCAUGUGUGCCAGCGGAGCAGACACAGCCCUGCAGCCACUCCUCCUCUCGGCGCACAAACCCUCCCCGCCCUGCUAA